AUCUUAAUUCUGAGUUGCUGAUGAUUUUUCUAACUAAAGUUGUGUUGGUAAUUUUUUCAGCUGUUCUUUGAAUUGGGAAUAUUUUUGUUAUCCAGAAAACACCACUAUAAAGUGAGUUGCUUUGAACUUUCAGCUUUCCAGUUUUGAUGGUGGAAGAACAUAAGAAAGCCGCUUCAAAAUACACCUUCUGAGGCCAGAGACAAACUUGACCUCUUCUCAAACACUUCUGCUUUGCUCAAAGAGGCUGACCCAUGGGAUCGAUGCCAAAGGAAGGUGCUCAGGGCCCAGGGUCUGGGAUGCUGAACAUGGCACUUUUUCAAGGUGAAAUAGCAACACAGAAGGAGGAUAUUUUUACAGGUAAAAGUACUUGCCUGAUUCUCCUGUCUCUACUCAAUGACUUGCAUUUAUAUAUACUAUUUAAAGAUUCGUUAAAUGCAUAAAUAUGUGUAGUCUGUGACACGCAGCUCAACAGAUAUUAAAAGAUCCCAGCCUGUGGUUAUGAUUUAA